AGCUGGCGAAUUAUGUGGGCAACCUCAGGGUCCUGAUACAUGUCAAACGCCAAGUCAUCCAAAGUGAUGGGUAAAGACAGAAGCUUAGGCUGCCCAGCACUCCAGUAAAAAAGGAAACUUCACAAAACCACUAAUAUAAAGUACAAAAACAUUUACCCUGCAUAAGAGCCAUCCAGUGCUGAGCUGUUCUGUGUGUUGCUGAGGUACUGAUCAACCAGGUUAUUUCUGUUCAGCUGGAGGAAACCAAGAAUUACAGAAAACAUAAGUAAUUAAUGACAUUAAUUGUGGGAUUAAAUUCAGGUGGAAGUGUUUCUAUGUAUAACGGCUUCUUCCUUACAGAGUUGCUGGCACCUCUGUUGGCACCUGCUCUCUUUCUCUGAAACCAUGAUGCCGGGGUCGAUCCAGUAUGGAAUUUUUUUCCCCUUGGAACCUCAGCUGGGGUCACAGGCAUUUUUUGCCUAUUAAGAUAGAACCAUCCUUGAAGAACUGGCUGCUCCAGAGGUAGCAUGACGUCUCUCUUUGGAGUGGGCUCCACAAAUGGAUCCAUGCUGGGUAUGGGCUGUGCCAGUUGGUGAGGUGGGGUGCUGCUUGUUUAUUGCUGUCCCCGGGCUGUUCUGGGAUUCCAUUGUUCACUUUUUUUUGUGGUUGUCACAGGUGCUCUAAGCAGUUAUUUUUCCAUACUGAGACAAAUCAUUUUCUAUCCACUUUUUAUGUUGCUGUCUGUGGGUGUUUUUGUGUCUUUCAUUUGUUACUUCGUUUUAAUAAGUAUCCUGUAAAUUGGGUUAACUUUUAAUUCUGGAAAGUGCGGGCAUACACCUGGCACCCCAGUGGCAAGGCACAACCUGUCCUGUUACACAUCAUGGAUUUUUUUCAAAUACCUUCUCUAAAUAAACUAAGGAUGCGCACGGUA